rnacentral:tRNA from 1 species
UGCGGUGGGGCCUGUGCUGGUACGGGCGGGCGCCUGUUAAGCGUCACGUCGCAGGUUCGAUUCCUGCCACCGCAG